GACGAACGCUGGCGGCGUGCUUAACACAUGCAAGUCGAACGGUGAAAGCGGAGCUUGCUCCGCUGGAUCAGUGGCGAACGGGUGAGUAACACGUGGGCAACCUGCCCCUCACUUCGGGAUAGCUCCGGGAAACCGGGGCUAAUACCGGAUAUGACCUCCUUGGGCAUCCUUGGAGGUGGAAAGUUUUUCGGUGAGGGAUGGGCCCGCAGCCUAUCAGCUUGUUGGUGAGGUAGUGGCUCACCAAGGCGACGACGGGUAGCCGGCCUGAGAGGGCGACCGGCCACACUGGGACUGAGACACGGCCCAGACUCCUACGGGAGGCAGCAGUGGGGAAUAUUGCGCAAUGGGCGAAAGCCUGACGCAGCAACGCCGCGUGCGGGAUGACGGCCUUCGGGUUGUAAACCGCUUUCAGCAGGGAAGAAGCCGCGAGGUGAUGGUACCUGCAGAAGAAGCACCGGCUAACUACGUGCCAGCCGCCGCCGUAA
rnacentral:rRNA from 1 species